rnacentral:rRNA from 1 species
ACACAUGCAAGUCGAGCGGUAGCACAGGGGGAGCUUGCUCCCUGGGUGACGAGCGGCGGACGGGUGAGUAAUGUCUGGGAAACUGCCUGAUGGAGGGGGAUAACUACUGGAAACGGUAGCUAAUACCGCAUAACGUCGCAAGACCAAAGAGGGGGACCUUCGGGCCUCUUGCCAUCAGAUGUGCCCAGAUGGGAUUAGCUAGUAGGUGGGGUAAUGGCUCACCUAGGCGACGAUCCCUAGCUGGUCUGAGAGGAUGACCAGCCACACUGGAACUGAGACACGGUCCAGACUCCUACGGGAGGCAGCAGUGGGGAAUAUUGCACAAUGGGCGCAAGCCUGAUGCAGCCAUGCCGCGUGUGUGAAGAAGGCCUUCGGGUUGUAAAGCACUUUCAGCGAGGAGGAAGGUGGUGAGCUUAAUACGCUCAUCAAUUGACGUUACUCGCAGAAGAAGCACCGGCUAACUCCGUGCCAGCAGCCGCGGUAAUACGGAGGGUGCAAGCGUUAAUCGGAAUUACUGGGCGUAAAGCGCACGCAGGCGGUUUGUUAAGUCAGAUGUGAAAUCCCCGGGCUCAACCUGGGAACUGCAUUUGAAACUGGCAAGCUAGAGUCUCGUAGAGGGGGGUAGAAUUCCAGGUGUAGCGGUGAAAUGCGUAGAGAUCUGGAGGAAUACCGGUGGCGAAGGCGGCCCCCUGGACGAAGACUGACGCUCAGGUGCGAAAGCGUGGGGAGCAAACAGGAUUAGAUACCCUGGUAGUCCACGCUGUAAACGAUGUCGAUUUGGAGGUUGUGCCCUUGAGGCGUGGCUUCCGGAGCUAACGCGUUAAAUCGACCGCCUGGGGAGUACGGCCGCAAGGUUAAAACUCAAAUGAAUUGACGGGGGCCCGCACAAGCGGUGGAGCAUGUGGUUUAAUUCGAUGCAACGCGAAGAACCUUACCUACUCUUGACAUCCAGAGAACUUUCCAGAGAUGGAUUGGUGCCUUCGGGAACUCUGAAACAGGUGCUGCAUGGCUGUCGUCACCUCCUGUUGUGAAAUGUUGGGUUAAGUCCCCCAACCAACGCCACCCCUUAUCCUUUGUUGCCACCGGUUCGGCCGGGAACUCCAAGGGAAACUGCCAGUGAAUAAACUGGAGGAAAGUGGGGAUAAACGUCCAGCUCUCCUGGCCCCUUACAAAUGGGGUACACCGUGCUACAUGGCUUUUUCAAAAAAAACCCCCCCAGAAAAAAA